AUUGAACGCUGGCGGCAGGCCUAACACAUGCAAGUCGAACGAGUGGCGGACGGGUGAGUAAUGUCUGGGAAACUGCCCGAUGGAGGGGGAUAACUACUGGAAACGGUAGCUAAUACCGCAUACCAUCGGAUGUGCCCAGAUGGGAUUAGCUAGUAGGUGGGGUAACGGCUCACCAAGGAGACGAUCCCUAGCUGGUCUGAGAGGAUGAACAGGCACACUGGAACUGAGACACGGUCGAGACUCCAACGGGAGGCAGAAGUGGGGAAUAUUGCACAAUGGGAGCAAGCCUGAUGCAGCCAUGCCGCGUGUAGGAAGAAGGCCUUCGGGUUGUAAAGUACUUGCAGCGGGGAGGCGUUACCCGCAGAAGAAGCACCGGCUAACUCCGUGCCAGCAGCCGCGGUAAUUC
rnacentral:rRNA from 1 species